UAGUCUUAGCUUCAUGAAAUUUUUCACAGAAUAUUGUUGUUUUUUUGUGACGAGUGAGUUCUUGCAAACAAAAACUACGUAGAAAGUUUAAUUCUCUGGAGGCUAAACUGUGAGGAUUAUUGAUUGGCAUUUUCGUCCACGAAUAAAAGAAGACAACGCACAAAUAGACAAUAACAAAAAACAGAAAAGAUGGGUCCACUGUUGAACUAUUUAUGUCUAAGGAGACAAUGUCCAUGACUGGCAGGAAAAGCAGUAGAUGUGACCACCUGAAAGGUGUUUGUUUGGUGAGAGCACAUCUGGGGUUUCCCCUGGGUAGAAAAGUGUGGUAGCCGAGGAUGGGGGUGGAGUGGAGUGCUCAGCUUAAACCGAACACGGCGCAUCUGGUUGUUUCAUCAUAUUUGUGACACUGCAUAAUAUUAUCAGCUGAUUUUAUUCAGAAGCAGAACUUACAGCGGUCGUUGCUGACCGUAGCUAGGCAGUAGCACCCCUACAGCACCUCCCUCUGCCUCAUAAAUGGUGACUGUGCCAUGCCAGUGUCGGUACAGGAUCUGCUCGGGUGCAAGAUCGGCUCGGGGUCCUUCAACUGCCGAUGACGUCAAAGUACGGCAAACCCACUCCGACAAAAUACACUACACAUCUUUAUACUGUUGGAAAGAAUUUAGCAGUUUCGUCAUUAAAAUAAUGUUUCUUAUGACGUAAGUUUGUGUUUAUAAUGGUAUUUAUAAAAUAAAACACUAUAUUGUAUUCAUAAUGUUGAACUCUUCUUUGAGCACUUCCCUUGAAGGAUCAUAGGUAUUAGCAUCACCUGUGAAAUUGUAUUAGCAGGAAAGAAGUGUGUCCCAUUUAUUGAAGUAUUUUGUGUUUAGAGUUUUUGACGUCUUGUCCAUGCGUAGUUCAGUUACGCUCAUAGCUGCUAGCCAAAACUCUGGAGUUAAAAGUUUUCUGGCUUUACUAAAAUACCUGUCUGUACUUAUCUGAUUGAUGGUAGUUUUACUUUCUAUUAGACUCCAAAUGUAAUCAUUUGGCACGUAUCUAAUUCAUAAUUUGUAAGAAUGUAAUCAGCGAUAUUAGCAUUAGCAUUCCUAUGGGGUUUUCUAUGUAUAUUAGCAUUGCGCUAACCAAAAAAUGUAAAAUAUAAAAAUAUUUAGAAAAUGAUUAAAAAUAUAUGUAAAAUGAGCAAAAAAUAGACAAUUGCGAUUAAAAAUGAAAAGAAAGAGAGAAAGUGAAUAGGAAAGAGCUAAAUCAGUGGAUUCUGAGGAAGGUGGAAUAGGUGGGGAGAGCAGAAUAAAGAGAGAGUGGUGAAGAAGGUCACACCUAAGCUAGCCUGAACAAGUGAGUUUUCAGCUGCUUUUUAAAGGAGACCACUGAGUCCACUGAUCUCAGGCUUAGCCUGGUGCUGCACAACCAUCGACAUAUAAAUAUUGGCCAAUGGGUUUCCAUAGUCUCCAGUAACACAUUUUUGAAGAUAAAUGGGAGGUUGCCACCACCGCCAUUUUGACCGUGUCACAGGUUCCGUCAAGCCCAGACAAUUCCACAAAAGGGAAGAGGGGUGGAGCUGAGGGUGGGGCUGUAAGGUUGGGAUCAACUGACGACACCUGGUCGAACUAGCUACAAGCUAACCUGAAGCUAACCCAAAGCUAAUGCGGAGGUGGGAGCUAAGCUAAUGGAGGUAGCAACCUAGCUACAACCAGAGUUAACUGUGCACAACACCAGAGCUUCUGAGUCAGAGAUACGCUGGGCAGACAGCUGGGUAUAAUCGGGUGGAAAACGGAGGUCUCCGAAAGCUCCACAAGCCGGCAGCCCGCACAGCAGACAGAAGCCGCCAUCAGACAGAGAUGCGCCGAGCUGCAGGGAGUGGAGAACUGGGUGGAAAACAAAGGUCUCCCCUAGAGUUCCACAAGCUGAUAAUCGGAACCCAGAUACACCACCAUGUCAUAGUUCUCCCCAUUUUCUAAAGUGCAACAUUAUGUUAAAUGCACUGGGUUUUACCCUAUUACAUUUAAAUUUCAUGGUUAAACAGUAUAUGUUAAAAUCUAAGCUCAGCUAGUGCAAGAGCGGCAGUGACCUAAAAUACAUAAAUAUAAUUUUACUUACCGAAAAAAAUGAAGUGGAGACUCCUUGGACACUCUAUUAGUGCAAUUAAUGCCACAGCAAGUCAUUUUGUCCAACAAUUGCACAAAAAAUAUCCAAAAAAGAAUACACAAACACAGACUCAAAAUGCGGGAGCAGUUUCCAGGCCAGACCGAGGCUCUACUGAGGCCUUUCCCCGCAGCUAGCUCUGUGGUCACGUGGGUCUGAUGCUCACUAAUUAUACAGAAAUUUAGGCUUUUAAUACACUUAAACAGAAGAGUGAGAAAAAAAAUUCACCCCCUCAGAGUUGUCAUGAGUGUUAACUAGAUAAUUUAAACCAAAAACAUGUUUUGGUACCAGGCUGUAAACAUGUUUAUUUCUGCUGUGAAACUGGAAUUUUUAACAUGGGAGUCAAUGAGGAUUUGCUCGCUUCUGACAGCAGCCCCCAGCAGAUGAGUACCGUGGAACUGCAAUUAUUGUCACUUCCGGGUUGGCCUCAAUUUUUGAGCUGCAUUGUGGGGGCCUGUGCACAACCAGUAGGAUUUGAUCACUGGACCUCAGGGACCUGCUGGGGGUGUAGGGACUAAGAAGAUCACCAAUGUAAGAUGGUGCUUGUCCAUGUAAGGCCCUAUACACCAGAACCAUGAUCUUGAAAUGAACCCUGAAGUUGACUGGCAGCCAAUGAAGCUGGAGGAGAAGCGGGGUGAUGUGCACAGGCAUUCUGAACCACCUGUAGAUGGUUCAGGGAGGUUUUGCUCAGACACGUGAAAAGAGAGUUGCAGUAGUCUAAGCGUGAGGAGAUGAAGGUAUGGAGAACAGUCUCAAGUUCAGAGCGGGACAGAAUGGGACUCAGCUUUGCAAUGUUCCUGAGAUGGAAGAAGGAAUAGCGAACAAGAGAACGGACAUGAGAAGAAAGAUCAGCUGUAAGCCUCUGCUGAAAGGUGCAACAGCAGUGGCCACACAAGACACCUGCUUCCAUAAACACAGAUGCACACAUAGUUAGCAAACCACCAUAAAACACACACACAAAGACAGCAAGAGAAAAAACACCACAUUACAUUUGAGCAGGGCAUACUGGAGUGUGUGUGUGUGUGUGUGUGUGUGUGUGUGUGUGUGUGUGUGUGUGUGUGUGUGUGUUGUGUGUGUGUGUUGCAUGAACGUUUUUUUAAGAUGACAGACACCUGGUAUCCUGUCUGGUGGACACCAGAGGUUAGGGGAGCUGUCAAGCUGGAGAAGGAGGCCUACAGGGCGUGGCAGGUCUAUGGGCCUCCAGAGGCAGCAGACAGGUACUGGAGGGCCAAGCGAGGUGCAGCACAGGCAGUUGCCGAGGCAAAAUCUCGGGCGUGGGAGGAGUUUGGCGAGACCUUGGAGAAAGACUAUCUAUUGGCUCCAAAAAAAAAAUAAAAACAACAAAUACGCAGUGUCGGAGCCCCUGGCGUGGAUGAGAUCCCACCUGGGCAUCUCAAGUCUUUGGAUGUUGUAGGACUGACUUGGUUGACACGUCUCUGCAACAUUGCGUGGUCAUCGGGGGCAGUUCCUGUGGAGUGGCAGACCUGGGUGGUGGUCCCAAUUUUUAAAAAGGGGGACCAGAGGGUGUAUUCCAAUUAUGGGGUCUCACACUCCUCAGCCUCCCGGGAAAGGUCUGCUCCAAGGUACUAGAGAGAAGGGUCCGGUCGAUAGUUGGACCUCAGAUAGAGGAGGAGCAAUGUGGUUUUCGUCCUGGCCCUGGAACUGUGGACCAACUCUUUACACUUGCUAGGGUGAUGGAGGGGUCAUGGAAGUUUGCCCAACCAAUCCACAUGUGUUUGUGGAUUUGGAGAGAGAAGGCUUAACACCGUGUCCCCAGAGACAACCUGUGGAGGACACCAGGAGCAUGGGGUGGAUGGUCUUUUGCUAAGGGCCAUUCAGUCCCUGUACCAGAGGAGCUUGAGUUUGGUCCACAUAGCUGGCAGUAAGUCGGACCUGUUCCCAGUGAGGGUUGGACUCCACCAGGGCUGCCCUUUGUCACUGGUACUGUUCAUAACGUUCAUGGACUGUAAAACAAAGGCGAAGUCAAUCUGUAUUUCACAUCUGAAUAAGGAUGGAAACAGCAAAAGGACGGAAAGGGAACAUAGGUACGUGCCAGCCAGGAGGGGGAGGCUGGAGAAGCUGUGGGUGUGGAGAAAAGUGAGAGGAUGGAAAGAAACAAUCAUCGUUACAGGAAAGUGGCAUCCAAAAACCUUCUCCAAUUAUCGUUGGCCACCACGCCAGUGAGACUGACUUAAUUAAAAUGACCGGGGGAGGGGCUUUGCGCAUAAACACAAAGCUCAGGCUGUCUACCGCUCUUGCUUUUCAAUUCCUCACUUCAAAAGAGAAGAAGGACAUAAUAAAACAGGAAACUCUCAGCUGACAUCAUCACCCAGUGCUGGUGUUUAAACUGUGUUAAGUGUGUGUGUGUGUGUGUGUGUGUGUGUGUGUGUGUGUGUGUGUGUGUGUGUGUGUGUGUGUGUGUGUGUGUGUGCUAGUGUGCAUGCUUGUGAGUGUGUGUGUGUGUGUGUGUGUGUGUGUGUGUGUGUGUGUGUGUGUGUGUGUGUGUGCUAGUGUGCAUGCUUGUGAGUGUGUGUAUGUGUUAGUGGGCAUGUUUGUGUGUGUGUGUGUGUGUGUGUGUGUGUGUGUGUGUGUGUGUGCGUGUGUGUACUCAUCUUUACAUGUUAACGUGACCAUUGUUACAUCGUGGAGACGUGUUGCUGGACAACCCGCUCUACCUCCUGAGCUCCUGCUGAUCAUGCCAAGCUUCAUGCCAUCAGGCCUCAGAGAGGAGUGGUGCUCCAUUUAGAGGCCAGAUGGUGCUACUUUAAACCAUUGAGAGAAGUACAUAACAUAUUACUGUUGGCACUACUGAGAUGUCAUCUUCUCUUAAAUGCAUGUUGUUUUCAUCAGCUUGUGUUUCAGUGAAGCUCUGCCCACUCCCGCUUCAACAAAACACACUUACAACAGCAUCUUAAGCCCGGAUCACAAUGUGCAAUUUUUGACCGUCGUACAGGAUUGUUCAUGUCACACUGCACGGAUUCAAAGAGAGGUGUCACAUUGUGCGGAGCACAAUUACCUAAUGUCAAACUGCACGACUACGUAUCCGCAGAAGGACGCGUUUACGUCACCUGAAAACAUACGUCACUAUUAGUAAAAAAAACACCCAAGAAGGCGACUCCGAGGGCGAAGAAAUUUUUUGCAUUAGCACCAGUUGGAACUACAAUAAGUGCCAAAAAUGAGCGUAAAAGGAGGAAGAAGAGGCUGUGGGAAUGUGCCUGGGUAGGAAAACAAGGAGGUUUGGGCUGCCUUGUUCUGCAAAACGAGCUCGAGACUGGUGAUCAUGGCCGAUUCAGAGAUUUGUUGCGUUUGGAUGGUGACCAGCUCGACCAUCUGCUCGAGCUGGUCACCACAUAUAUGCAACCAAAACACCCAUCUGAGCCCGAGCGUUAGCACCACAGAGAGGCUGUCCGUGACUGGGGAGACAUUUGCUUCACCGAGCUUUCAGUACCGCGUGGGGAGGAGCACUAUCAGUGGAACUGUGAGCAACAUGUGCGAGACAUUGUUUUACAAGACGACUACCUACAGACACCUACCACAGAAGACGAAUAGAGAAAUUUGGCAUCCGAUUUUAAAGAGAGAUGGACGUUUCCCCGUUGUGUUGGAGCUCUAGAUGGGAAGCAGAUAACUAUCCGACCACCAGCCAGCAGUGGAUGUGCUUUCAGAAACUCCCGCUUCUCUCUUGUUUUGCUGGCUGUUGUCAAUAUGAACUCUCAGUUUCUUUACGCACAAAGUGGCACCCAGGGCAGUCUGAUGGAGGCGUCUUCGCACACUCUGAUUUUAGAAGGGCCUAGAUGGUAAACUUCUAAAUCUAGCCCGACAAAAUAUUUGCUAGGUACCAACACACCCAUACCAUAUGUGUUUGUGGAAGAUGGGGCCUUCCCACUUCAGGAAAACCUUAUGAAGCCUUAUCCAUUCAGGAACCUUGACUACGACCAGACGGUUUUCAGCUACAGGUUGUCUGGAGCUCGGCAUGUAGUUGAAAUUAGUUUUGCAACAUUAUCCAACAGGUGGCGAGUUUUCCUUACCACGAUUGCUCUUGAGCCAGAGUUUGUGUCACAGAUAACACUGGCAGCUCUGUCUUUACACAACUUUCUCACUGUACAUGCUAAAGGCAGAUACACAACCCUGUCCACAGAGAGGAUGAGCGGCACAAUACCAUCCCUGGAAGCUCGUGAAACAACCAACCUCUUCCAUUUAGUGGCACAGCUAAGCAGCAAUGGGAGACAUUAAAGUCCUAUUUUGUCUAACCAAAAGGCUCUGUGACUUGGCAAGAAAACAUGGCAUAGUCGUAGGAGCUCUGUGUCAUUUGUAGCAGCUGCUAAUCGGCAUCCUAAAAAGAAUAUCUGUAAACGUCUGGCUGAAAAUGAAUAAAACCUUUUUGGCAAAUAAUCCUUGGGCACCCUUCAUGAACAAACAAUAGUCAUUUAUGCAUGCUACAGUCACUACACUGUUUUAUAUUUUAAUUAGUUUAUGCUGCAAGUGACAUUUUGUCUACCUACCCUAGCAAACAUGUUACCUGAAUAAUAAAGGUCAGAGUGUUUUUAGUCGCAAACUUUAUUCUACAUUGGAAACAGAAGCAAGAAAAUAUAUGAAAGUAAAAUACAAUAAAGAAAAAUACACUCAAAGGGCCAUUCAUGCACAGUCACUUUGUUUUUGUAAGGAGUGCCAACUUGAAGCUUUCCAUCAUGCUGUGCUGGACUAUUAUGGCUUGGGGUGUGCCACACAGGAUAUGGGCUGUAUGGUGGCACAGUUGUUAGCACUGUUCCUUGCAGCACGAAGGUUGCAGGUUUGAAACUCAGCUGCGGCCUUUCUGCGUGGAGUUGCGUGUUCCCCCCAUGCAUGCAUGGGUUUCCUCCGGGUAGUCCGGUUUCCCCCCACAGAUCACAACGUGCCCUAUAGGUUAUAAAUUGUAAGUCGCUUUGGAGAAAAAGCGUCUGCCAAAUAAAUAAACAUAAACAUAUUGAUGUCCUGUAAAUGGAUGUGAUGGAUUGGUGGGAUAUGUAUUUUGGUUGGCUGAAGUCUUAUAGAACUAGGAUUGGGAUAAUAAUACUUGUAACUUGUAACAUGUUUUGUAACUAUAACUUUCAUUUUUUAGCAUGUAAUUCAUAUUUUGUAGCUUGUAAUUCACGUUUUGUAACACUUGACUUUCAUUUUCUAACACAUAAUUCUCAUUUUAAAACAUGUAACUUUUGUAACGUAGCAUGAAAUUUUCAUUUUGUAACAUGUAACUAUUGUAACGUAGCAUGAAACUUUCAUUUUGUAACAUUUAACUUUUGUAAUGUAGCAUUAAACUUUCAUUUUGUAACAUGUAACUUUUGUAACAUAGCAUGAACUUUCAUUUUGUAACAUGUAACUUUUGUAACAUGUAACUUUUGUAACAUAGCAUGAAACUUUCAUUUUGUAACAUGUAACUUUUGUAACAUUGCAUGAAACUUUCAUUUUGUAACAUGUAACUUUUGUAACGUAGCGUGAAACUUUCAUUUUGUAACAUGUAACUUUUAUAACGUAGCAUGGAACUUUAGUUUUGUAACGUAACUUUUGUAAUGUAGCAUGAAACAGUCAUUUUGUAACAUGUCACUUUUGUAACAUGUAACUUUUGUAACGUAGCAUGAAACUUUCAUUUUGUAACAUGUACCUUUUGUAACGUAGCAUGAAACUCAUUUUGUAACAUGUAACUUUUGUAACAUGUAACUUUUGUAACAUGUAAUUUUUGUAACAUAGCAUGAAACUUUCGUUAUGUAACAUGUAACUUUUGUAACGUGGCAUGAAACUUUCAUUUUGUAACAUGUAAUUUUCGUAACAGCAUGAAACUUUCAUUCUGUAACAUGUAACUUUUGUAACAUAGCAUGAAACUUUUAUUUUGUAAAUGCAACUUUUGUAAUGUAACUUUUUUGACAUGUAACUUUUGUAAUGUAGCAUGAAACUUUCAUUUCGUAACAUGUCACUUUUGUAACAUGUACCUUUUGUAACGUAGCAUGAAACUUUCGUUUUGUAACAUGUCACUUUUGUAACGUGGCAUGAAACUUUCAUUUUGCAACAUAUAACUUCUGUAACAUGUAACUUUUGUAAUGUAGCAUGAAACUUUCAUUUUGUAACUUACAGAAAAAUGUAUGUAUAGGUUUCAAAUUACAACUAAAACACACAACUCAGUCUACAAUUACAAAACUUACAUCUAUGUGUUACAAAACAUUUUGCCCAAUUCUAGCUUCCUUUCCUAAAGAACCAAUGACCGAUAAAUUAAACUAAGCAUUGCUUAAGAACUUACAUUUUGACCUAGACCAGGAUAUUGUAUCCAAGACAUAUGAUUGGCUGAUAAGACAAAACCUGGCAUUGGUUCUUUGGAUAAAGAAAGCUAGAAUUGGGACAAAAUGUUUUGCACACAUAACUUUUGUUUCUAUAGAUUGUAGAUGGAGAUCUGUGCUUUUUUCUGCAAGUUACAUAAGAAAGGUUUCACGUUACAUAUCAAAAGUUAAAUGCUACAAAACAAAUGUUACAUGUUUCUAAGUGAAAAUUUCAUGUUACAAAAUGAGAAUUAGGUGUUACAAAAUGUGAAUUUCAUGCUACACAAUAAAAAUUACAACUGCAAAAUAUGUUACAGUUACAUGUAAUAAUGUCCAGAUCUUAGCUCUAUUAAGUCUCUUCAGAUUCAGUGGCAUCAAACAAAUGAUCUGUAAUUAUCUGCACGGUUUAAUUGCGUAAGAACUGGCUUUCAAUUAGAUGGAGCUGAUUAGCCACAAACUUGCCAAACUUCAGAGUCUUCUCGGGUAAAGGGUUGAUCGACUACUUGUUUAAGCAAAGUCACUGUUUGUUUUUCAUAACUGUCGUGUGCAUUUUUGGAUGUUGAGGUACUCUUCCGGCGCAGUGGGAGUUCUUUGUUGCCACUGCUACUUGGUUUGGGGUUUUCCGUAUUGUUCUCAGGGAACUUGCACAGAUCAUUAUGUCUUUCCCUGCAAAUUAAAGAAUGACUUGCGUAAAAAACAUAUGUCUAAGCAUCAAUAAGACAUUACUUAUGUUAGCAUGGAUUGCUGCGAGUUGGAGGCUAACAUUUGUGGAAAAGGGCCAUGGGCAUGAAAGUAAACACGUAUUUACUUACUUGGAAUUUGCAUCUACUCUGGGAUUUCUCUCCAGGCGUUUUCCUUUGUGGAUCGAUUGUGAUAGUCCUUAUCAUUCGUGUCAUAUGGACAGGGUCUGUGCUGCCAAAGUUGGAUAAAUUCCUCUUCUUAUUUUACCCACCCAGGUGUGUAGCCUCCAUUACUGCUAAAAAGCAAUGUUGCAGUCCUUCUGUCAUGUGACUCCAUCACUAAUUUCUUAUGUGACCGCCUGGUUGUGUUUUCAUUGUUACAGAUAAGAAUCUUAGGUUUUCAAGCAUGCUUGUAGACUGUCUGAGGCUGAUUUGGGUCGCGAGAUGGCUCAAAAAGCUGUCGCAGAGCCAUUCACACCGUACAUUCACAGCAUGAUGCACAUAUAUGCAAAUCACCCUGACGUUGACUGUUUUUGGUCACAAUUCUACUCAGGACGUGGGAUUUGGCAAAGAUGGCCAAAAAUUGCACAGUGUGAUCCGGGCUUUAAGCAAGUUUGCUGUUGCAUUGGGAUUGGUAGUCCAGUGGUUGACCCAACUAGCCUGGCCUGCCAGACUCCUCUGUUUAAUUCUGCACAGAGAAAGGGUCUUGGACCUCUCCUUCCUGAGAUGGAAGAAGGAAGAGUGAACAAGAGAAUGGACAUGAGAAUCCAGGGUGAGAGCUGGGUCAAAAGUCACACCAAGAUUCCUGACAGGGGGCUUGGUGUGAGAAGCAAGCUGACCAAGAGAGUCUCUGACUUUGGGAACCAGCUUGUCUGGGGCACAGAUGAGGAUCUCGGUAUUAUCUUCAUUCAGCUGUAGAAAGUUCCCACCAUCCAGGUUUUAAUAGAGUCUAAGCAGGUGUGUAACAGCUGCAGCUUAGACAUCUCAUGGGGCUUCAGGGAGAUGUACAGUUGGAUGUCAUCUGCAUAAAGAUGGUAGGAGAUACCUUUGAAGGAGCUCAGGAUGUGCUGAAAAGGAAGCAGAUAGAGGAGGAAGAGCAGAGGUCCCAGCACAGAACCUUGUGGGACACCAUGGGUAAGAGAGGUGGUGGAGGACCUAAACUUAGAGACGGCCAUAGAGAAGAAGCACUCAGAAAGAUAAGAGGAGAACCACUCCAGAGCAGAUCCUGAUAGGCCUACCCAGUCUCUCAGCCUCUCCAGUAGCAGGUGAUGGUCAACAGUGUCAAAGGCCGCAGUCAGAUCCAGCUGGACCAGAACAGAACAGUCCCCUGCAUCACUGUGAGUCAGAAGGUCAUUAGAGACCCUAAGAAGAGCUGUUUCAGUAGAAUGACCCAACUGUAAGCAAUCAUAGAUGUUAAGUUCAUCAAGAGCAGCUGUGAGUUGUUUAACCACAACCUUUUCCAAUAUCUUGGAGAUUAACAAAAGUUUAGAGAUGGGUCUGAAGCUGCUAUGAAGAGAGGGGUCAAGACUCGUUUUUUUAAGAAGCGGGUGGAUUAUAGCGUUCUUAAAGUAAGCAAGGACCUGACCAGAAACCAAAGAAGCAUUAAGUAUAGAGAGCACGCUGGGACCAAUGUACUGAAAAGCACUUUUAAACAAAGAUUAGGGUAAAAUGUGUGUG